rnacentral:tRNA from 1 species
GGUUUUGUAUUCAAUAUAUGAUUUUAAAUUGCAAAUUUAAAGGAGGGUAAUUACUAGCCCCAAAACUU